UACGUAGGGCGCAAGCGUUAUCCGGAAUUAUUGGGCGUAAAGAGCUCGUAGGUGGUUUGUCGCGUUGUCCGUGAAAACUCACAGCUCAACUGUGGGCGUGCGGGCGAUACGGGCAGACUGGAGUACUGCAGGGGAGACUGGAAUUCCUGGUGUAGCGGUGGAAUGCGCAGAUAUCAGGAGGAACACCGGUGGCGAAGGCGGGUCUCUGGGCAGUAACUGACGCUGAGGAGCGAAAGCGUGGGGAGCGAACAGG
rnacentral:rRNA from 1 species